rnacentral:rRNA from 1 species
CCCUUAGAUGUUCUGGGCUGCACGCGCGCUACACUGAUGCAUUCAACAAGUUCACCUUGGCCGAGAGGCUUGGGCAAUCUUUUGAACAUGCAUCGUGAUAGGGAUAGAUUAUUGCAAUUAUUAAUCUUGAACGAGGAAUUCCUAGUAAACGUAGAUCAUCAAUCUGCAUUGAUUACGUCCCUGCCCUUUGUACACACCGCCCGUCGCACCUACCGAUUGAAUGGUCCGGUGAAGCCUCGAGAUUGUGGCCAGCUCGCUUUAUUGGGAGUUGGUUGCGAGAACUUGUCUAAACCUUAUCAUUUAGAGGAAGGUGAAGUCGUAACA